CUCGACUUCAGGAGACUAAUAUAUAUGACGCAGAGGAAUAAAAGUCAUUAUUUUUAUUUAUUUUUGCCAAUAGGCGCAUCUGACACCAAGGACAAAACCAACUUUGGAAACAAGCUACAGACUUCUAUAAGAUUUUAACCACUUUAUGUGGUUUGGCAAAUACAUUAAGAGCGUGGUUCCUAUUUCCUUUUAAAUAUUCGAUAAAAGACACUGAUUGUGAUUUCCUGGAAUGUCAGUUAUGACUAUUGUCUGUAGAAGAAUCCAAUCGGUGACCUUUUCAGGUGGCCCAAUUGUCUGUGAUAAAACAUUGCAUACAGAAGAGGAGAAGGCAAUAAUUGAAACUGGCUCCUUGCGUAAUUAGCUCCUGUCGAUCUCAACAGCGGACCUAAUAUUUGAUCUCUUACUUUCCUUCUACCCAAGGCAACAGAACCACUGUGCCAGUCAGCCACCAUAACGAUUGCAAAUGUUGCAUCUGUGGUAUAACUCAGAAAGAGGGGGUAGGGUUUCACUUCAAAUGACCACAUGUGUUAAUGCAACAGAUGCAGUUCACAAACAAGUGCCUAAUGCCAACAGUACAGACAUCUCUGACCCCACAUGCUCCACCAUGACACACACACCCUUAGAAUCAUAUGUCGAUUUAAAAGCCACAAUGGUAACAGCUGCACAGAAGUGGGUCAACAACUGAACUGGCAGCAAAAAUAUGAUCAUUGUGGUGCUGAAAUUAUUUGAUAUAAUCAUCUAAAAAUUUCGGGAAACAAAGAAUUUAUCUUAAUUCUUAACUCUUAGCCUUAUCCAACUAUAGAAUUCACCUCUACAAAAAAAAAAAAAGAAAGAUCAAAGAACAGAACCAGAAUAUAUUUGAUCUACAGCAAAAUGCAUGCUGAGGCACAUGCUGGCCAUCACAAUCCUGCUGGGUCUGUUAUCAGUCUGUUCAAACUGGGAUUGUGAAUGUCAGUCACCAAAAAAUCUACUGCAAUUUCCUAAGGCUACACACUGACUUUUUAUGUGAGGGUUACAUAUACAGUACAGGCAACUUUUUUUUUUCUUGGGACUGUCAGACAACAAAUAUAGUAAGACACAUAUAGGGUGAAAAAAAAGGUGCGUGAAAGGUGCAGGAUCAGGGGCGUAACUACAAUAGCGGCUGACCAGGCGACUGCUGUGGGGCCCAGGGCAAGAGGGGGCCCAGUCAUAGUUGGGAUCAUCUCCUCUUCUACUGGAGGUGGAAACUUGAAAGCUUGGUCAGGAAUCUACCCUCUA